rnacentral:misc_RNA from 1 species
UUUCCAGUUUGUUCAUUAUCUGGUCACACUCUCACUUUCAGCCCUUUAUCAUCUCUGUUUUCAUUCCCAUUGUCCAAGCUCAACUUCAUUCCACUCGGUUUUUAUCUUAAUCUGAUUGCAUUUUGGCUAAGCACCCUUCAGUUCACGACGAACAUCUGCCCUCAGGCUAAUCAGUCCGCUGUCUUAUCACUAUUUGUCACUCCGUAGUUAUUUCAAUAAAUUUGGCUCCUUACAGGUAAGAGCUCAUACUGCUGUUUUAUUAAGUGUUUACGUUUACUUUUCGCACUUUCUUUGUCCUUCUUACAUAUGCAAUUUUCUCCAAGUUCAUUUUGUGCAAAAGAACCCCAAAGAAUGUUACUAUCGAGUUAUCUCUUUAGUGAUCAGUCCAUCAUUUUAUUAAUCUUCGUCAUUUCUGAACGCAAGUUUUCUAGCUCCUAGUAGCGUGUAAGUGGUUGGGUAAAACGUAGAUAACUGUAACUUAAGGGUCUCUUUUAAGAGAGAGAGCCUGAAUAACACGUCAGGAAAAUAGCCAAACUAUUAGGUUGACGUAAACGGCAAUUCGGCAAGAUGCCAUAAAGUGGAAUAAAACCAAAGUAAACGAAACAGAAUAGAUCGGACAUUAAUAGGUAUUGGUAAGGUGACCACAUGGGAGGUCGGUAAAUUCAGUCUAAUAUCCCCCGUCUAGUCACAAGGUAUCAAUUAGUUAAAAGAAGUCUUAUCCCCAGCACCUUUGAAUGCCAGAAUCCUUAGCUUUAGGCUCUUAUGACAUGUAGCUGAAAUUAAAAUUCGGGAGAUCGGAAAAGUCCCUUCCAGGCUCCGGUUAAUUUAAAAGAGAUCGGAGGAGAGUUC